UACAGAGACCUCGAGCGUUAUCCGGAUUUAUUGGGUUUAAAGGGUGCGUAGGCGGCCCCGUAAGUCAGUGGUGAAAUGCUCCGGCUCAACCGGAGAGGUGCCAUUGAUACUGCGGGGCUUGAGUACAGUCGAGGUAGGCGGAAUUGACGGUGUAGCGGUGAAAUGCUUAGAUAUCAGAAGGAAUACCGAUUGCGAAGGCAGUCUGCUACAUAUAUACUGACGCUGAGGCUCGAAAGUGCGGGUAUCAAACAGG
rnacentral:rRNA from 1 species